GGUGAGGUGGGAUAGGGGGUGGGAAGUAGGUGUGGAGAGGAACAGAAAUAGCAGUACUCAAGAAGGCACCAAUAUGAAAAAAAAUCAUUGUCAUCACAAGGGCUGAUGCUUAUUUAGCAUUUAUUAUGUGCCAGCCACUGUUCUAAGUGCUUUCCGUGUAACUCAAUCAAUCCACACAACAGGCUGUAUUUCUGCUCCACUUUCCAGAGGAGGAGAAUGAGGCACAGAGUGAGAGACUGAGCAGCUCAUCAAGGUCUUAGUGCUAGUACGUGGGACAGUCGGGAUUUGGGCUCAGGCUGGCUCCUGACCGUGUGUUCUUUCCUCUUCUCUCCCACUCCUAACUUCACAUGGCGGGCUUGGGACCUGGAUGUGGGUGCUAGAGAGAAGGAAUGGUCAGAGUUCCUCAUCUUGGGACCUGGCACACUAAUCUUUUCAUUUGACCUCAAAUGCAGAGAAAGGAGUAUCAAUACUAAUGCUUCCUCUAAUAUAAAGGACAAUAUUCAAUAUUUAUAGCAAGCCAAUGCUAUUUGUUUGAGCAGAUGAAAUCACUGACAUGAGGGUUAUCUAUCUGUUGCAAUACCACAUACAGAGAAAUGAUGGGUAUUUCUGAGCCGAACCAUCAUGAAUCUUUCCGUGCUCCCAUCCCAUACAGCUCAUAACUCAUUCAACCUUUUUCUUUCUGAAUCGUAAUAAAAUGUCCUCACUAUAACUCUCAUCUUUGCCUGCAAUUAAAACAGAAUAAGGAUGAGUCAAAUGGCACAUUUUUAUCCUUUUCCAGUCCUCAUCUCUAUAAGCUGUGGAAUAGAGUAACAAAAAUGACAAGAAAUAGUUGAAAUAUGUCUGUAGAUUGAUUUUCGUGUCCUGUUUCUAAAGCAAACAAGGAAGUGUUCAUAUUAAAGUAGAUUUCCUUUCCAAAAAUGUACAGCUUCUUAAAAAGACUACAAGCCAUUGACAUACAAUUGCUUCUAAGUGUAAAAUUAUUUUAAAAGUAAAAAAGACUUCCAAUUUAUAAAUUUCCUGUGCUAUUCCUUCAAAGUCUUAUUUAUUCUCCCUGAAAGCACUCAGCAAGCCACGGGGGCAAUAUAGAGCAAAUGUCCUAAAUGCAAGAUGUAAUCAGGGCAACGGCUCUUAGUCUGGCAUAAGUGAUAUAUUGAACCGGUGUAUGAGCUCCGUAGACUCUUUAUUUACAAUCACGUAAGUCUAAUUGCUUUAGAAGAUCAAGGUGAUUUUUGACUUGCUCAGAAAACCUGGGGGAAAGUUUCUGAACAUUUUAAAAGAUAUCCCGAGAUAGGCUCUGAGUGCCUUCCGGAAGAAGUCCCAUCCUGUGUGAACAGCUCUAGCUGUUGCUGUGCAGUGGGUGAGACCCUGUACUGUGGCAUUGAUCCCACUCUGUGGGCCAGGCACUGGGACGCAGAGCCUUCUCUGGGAAGGCAGGACAAGCAGCUGGCUCACCAGGGGACUGGCUCUCUGCCCUAGCUUCUCCCACUUAGAGCCGUGCCCAGCAUGUUAUGAGGGAGACCCGUAGUCCUUGCACCUGAUGUGAAGGUUUGUUGGUUUCUUCCUCCAGCCAAGCUUCCUGUCAGCUUGGCUCUGAGCUUGGUGAAUUAUGACUCAGAGAUGUGUGGUUCCCUGUUGCGGGGAGCAGGUGAUGCUUCUGUUUGCUAACAGGCCCUCUUCCUGAGGCAGCUGCCUCCUGCAGCCUCUGAGCCUCUCGGCCCCCUCGUUCAGUGCCCUGAGGGAGAGGGAGAAGGAGAUGCCAAACGCUUAUCUGGUACUGCCAGGGAAAACCCGUCCACAGACUCUUAUGCCCGUGUCUACUGAGUCCUGUGCUGCAGCCUGUUAGGAAAUCUUUAUGGAUAAUUUGGUGAUGUAUUACCAGGACAGAGCGUUCCAGGCCUUUAUCUCAUUAUCACCUUCUUUCUUCUUUCUUCUCCUCCUUCUCUUCCUCCUCCCAACCCCCCCCCCCACUCCUCCUCCUCCUCCUCCAUCAAGAUCAUUAUCAUCAUCUUCAUUAAGUGCCUAAUUCUGCGUGAUUUUCUGCUUGAUACUGAAGCAAACAUUAAGCAGUCUGUAUUUCCUCUGUCUGGGAUUAUAACUUAGGGUAAACAUAAUAGCCUACGGUGUAAAUUUAUAAAUAUUACAGAAAGAUGAAACCAGCUUGAUAGCAGCCAGCAAGGGGAGCUCAUUCUGACUGACAUAUGAGAAGGAGGUAUGUAGGUAACUGGGGUAGCUCAAGGAAAAGGAGCACUUUGCCUCUCUCUGGUUGGUAUUUUGGGGGGAUGGUGCCAGCAGAGCUCCCCUUUGCUGAGUCUCAGUGGUCAAAGAGAGUUGGGGGUAGGUGGGUGUUCUGGGGGUUCUCUGUGCUUGGCUUUAUGGGGAGGAAUCAGGAGUUGAGUGAGUUCUGACCAGUGGUACUGGAGGUGUGUGGACACAGCAUCACCCCAGAAAGAAACCAGGUUCCAGACUCGGACCUGGCUUUGAAUCACAGCCCUGUUACCAGCUGUAGGACCUGGGACAGAUCAUGCAACCAGCCAUUUUUAUCCUCUUUUUAUCUGACGAUAAAAUGGGAAUAAUAACAUCUACUUUGCCUUAUCUGUUUGAGAUCCCUGGCAUGGAUCACAAAGAGUAAUUACUGCUGUCUUUGUACAUAGAAGGCUCAAAUAAGUAACAACAUCUGGAGGGCCCACAUGAAAAAUUCUGGAAGGCUGGAUUUCACCAUGACUUUGCAUUUCCUAAAGGUGGCAUGGCCCUGGGUUAAAAUCUAGGUUUUGUGCUAUAAGUAGAUCCACAAUCUAAAGAAGAUGAAACUGUUUGUUUUUGUUUGUUUGUUUUUUUGUGUUUUGUUUUGUUUUGCUUUAAAGCUCUCAAAACCCUAUAGGGAGAGGCAGAGAAAUCUACCUUAUUUCACACCAGCCUUUCUGAACAGUGGCUUUGGAGUUGUGACAGGGAUCCCAGCUGUGGGUAAACUUCAAGCCCUCAGCACUGCGUCUCUGUAUGCUGCCUGCUAAUGCUGAACCACAGCUUCCUUUUUAUAAGUUUCCACAUGCUUCCUUUGUAGCUGCAGCCUGCCCAGGCUGCAAGAGGAGAGGCCCUGGGGUCCAGAGGUAAACUGAGUUCUGUUCCUGCCGCACUGCAUUCCAAGUUGGCUCAGCAAGAUGAGGACAUGUCUUUGGAGCAGCCCACCAGAUGCCUUGUUUGGAGUGUGGGCAGAACAGAUUAAAAGUGCACAAUUUCUGAUUCAGAUAACCCUGGGGCUGGAGGUUCUCAAACUUUCCUGCUCCAAGAUCGUCUUCCUUUCUCUUCUUAUCCCAUGCACAAGAAGUCAGUGAAGAGGAGUAGGCAGAGAGUUGCAGCAGAGCUGAAUUCUAGUUCUGUGUCAUCCUGGGUUCCCAUUACCCAAUCUAGGCUAGGGUUUCUGUCAGUAAAUGGCCAAGGUGGACAGAGGUCCCUCUUACGUUGUAGUGCCUGGACCUUAAACUCCAAGGGCACGUAGAAUGUCCCCUUCAUUCUCCCCAUGGUGGGCCCACACACCCAGGUGUCUGUUUUUUGUGUCUCUGCUUCCCUGACAGCCCCAGAGCCUGGCUAUUUGUCACCUACCUUGUGUGUGGAAAAGAGGGUGCUGGGGGCUUGAGCUCAGAAAGGAAGUGAGAGAAAUAAGAGCCUGUUGCAAGCCUGGGUCGCUUUGGGUGGGGAGGAUGGGGUGGUGGAAAGUUGUGCUCAUUUCUAUGUGCCUGAUGGAAAUUGAGACUGGGUUGCUGGAAGCAAGAGACUAUCCAAUAAACACUAGUCCAGGACGGAGUUGAGGGGCUCUGGUUCCUGAAAAUUUCUCUUCUCUGCUCCAGGAUUUUUGCAUGAAACCUUUCAACACUGAGCACUCAGCUAAAGCUUGGCACUGUUCCUCAGCCGCUGGUCUUCCUGUCCAACUGGCCAGGCUGCCAGAAGUGGCUCAUUGUGUUUUGGGGCAGUGGGGUUUAGUGAAACUUAUGAUCUCACUCUUAGAGUUUCCUCCUCCCAGUCCACACUUGAACAAAUCUCAUGCCCAAGAUGGAGCCAAAGAAGCUGAAAUGAAAGGUGGGUCAACACAUGGGAAAUGAAGUAAACAGAUUAAAAUAAAAGAGAUGUUAUAAGAAACAUCUCAUCAAUGCAGUACCUUCAUUAUCUGGAUAUUCCAGAUGGAACCUGCAGAAUGGCUUGCUUCCUGAAUAUAGAUACAUCUAAAGACAAUGAGAUUUUGUGACCCAUAGUAUUCUCUGCCUGGUGCCCCAUGAUAUGCUCAAUGGAGGUAAAAAUGCCAAGUGUGGUCUGUAAAAAAAAAUUUUUUAUGGUUUCUUAGAAAGGACUGCCAUCCAUAGCACUUAGCGUGGAAAGUAGCAGAUGGAGUUGCAUAUUCCCCAUGGGAGUAAGGACACGUGCAGAGAUUUUUUUUUCUUCCUCCAGUGCAUUUCUUACUGAGACACAAUGGAGGCUCAUGGAAUUUGAUGCCUUUGCUCAUCGCUGCCCAAGACUAAAUUCAGCCCAAAUUGUUCCUGUUGGAGCAGUGAACUUGGAUGGCUCUUUUAACGACGCAGGAAGGGGAGAUUCCAUUUUCUGCCGGAGCUCAGUGCAGUCUGCCUGAAGGCUGAGGGGUCCGGAUGCUGAGCCGGUGACCGACUUGGAUUCAGGAGCAGCAGUGUCAGCAUCCGGAGGUUCAGACUAGCUUGGAAACAGAUGCCAUUAAAGCAGAACAGAAUUUACACUGAACAAGCUGCCACCACAGCUCACAUGGCCACCAUCUGCUGUAGUAAUGUCUCCACCAUGAUGGGCUCCCUGCUUCUUCUGGUUGCCUUCCCGUGCCUCUGGGGCUCUCUUGCUUUGGCAGCUGCAUCAGACCGAUCAGCUUGGACCAAUGAGCUUCUGCCUCCCAACUCAGUGAAAUCUGUGGUUUGAAAGAGCCUCAGGAGGAAAGCAGUACUUAUUCCAGAAGAACAAACCUGUGAAUGGUGGCCCAGCAGGGCCGGGGAGAUUGCUAUUGCACAGGGUGCCCUUUGGAGUGCCCGUCCUUUGAAUCAGACCGUCUAGGAAGCUCAAGAACCUUGUUUGACCAGAUCAAUAUGAUGAAGGAGGAGAAAGAAUGUGCCAUCCAGGAAGAGAUGGGGGAGUAAGGACAAGUGCCAUGUGGGAGGCAGGAAGACGACGGACUGAGAGGUCAAGGUUGGCACACUAGGAAGGCAGAAGACCCCCAUCUCCCCGCAACUUAAUGCAUUGAGUCCUAAAGGCAGUUGUGUUCUGCUGUGGCGAUGAAAGGACUAAAAGUCACAUAACUGGCUCUGAAGCCAGGCUCACAAAAUGCACGGCUCUCAGGCUGUGUCCCUGGGCUGGCCGGAGGAGACCCGCGAGAGGGUCCUGAAAACUGCACGGCUCAGUGUAAACGGGUAUGUUGGCUUUCUUGUUUGUCCCUCCAUCUCCCCUGAGCUUAAAUCCUUAAGAGCCAAAUUCACUGUGCUGACAACAUGAAAUAUCACAGCCUGCAAAGGGGAGGACUGGCCUUGUCUAAGGGAGAAAGCCUCAAGGUAAAUGUCAGUUUGAGGAUCAUUUGACCUUAAGCCUUAAGGCAGUACCUCCUGGUGACACUUCUAACGUGACCUGUGCCUUCUUUCAAAUUUCUUUACAUAUGUAACCAGGGCAAUUAUUUAUAUGCAGUGUAAUUGAACUACAUUUCCCCCAGCUACGUCAAAGUUUAAUUUCAACCUAUUUUUCUCAUUUAAGCUCUUGCCCGGCCUUCUCCUCCCAGUUCCUGUUUUUCAUUGCAAAGGCAGUUUAUGAGUCUACUCAUUGCUGAAACAAUCUUGAGAAAGUGAAAUGUGACUUAUUACAUGCUAGCCUUACUCGUGUGUGAUACAGUCUUGUCUUGGACAAAGUGGAAUGCUUUAUUACCUUAUUUUCUAAGAAAUGAGUCAUUUCGGAGUGUGUUUCCAAGAAACACCCAGACAAUAUAAUAAUACAAAUAUUUGUCUUUAUGUAAGAUAUUUGUUUUUAUGUAAUAUAAAGGAGUAUUUGUCUGAAUAAUAAUGUUUUGAAGUAAAACAUGGCCACGCCUCACACAAGGAAGGAAUGUGACACAGGAUCCCCCACCAGAUGAGGGAAAAGGAUAAAAAACACAAGAGUGCUGACAACGAAGAAGACUGGAGAUGACUUUUGUGAUAACAAUAACAGUAACAACAUCCCUCCAUAUGUGUCCAUCACUUCACAUAAACUUGGUUUUAGUACUGUUUUUACUUUUCAAUAAAAAUUAAAAAAAAAUUAUAUAGUGCAGUAUUUUUUAAUUAGAACUUCAAAAAUACAGGCAUGAUUUCUACUUAUGAUUCUGGAAAUUAGGGGGAAAGUAACUAUUUGUCAGUUGUUAUGUAAGGUACAUUGGUGAUACAGCCAUAUGACUCAUUUUCCAGAAAAACUUGAAUUCGGUAAAUUGUUUUUGCACUGGAUGAAUUUCAUGACAAGUUUUUGAGGUAGGCUGAGGUAAUGACACAGAAGGAACUGGAGAAUGCUGCAUUUGGUUGUUUUUUGUUUUCUUUUUUUUUUUAACGUUCUUAUUCA